AUUGGGAAGGAAUUGUUGUCUGUGAGGGUGGAGAGGCCCUGGCACAGGUUGCCCAGAGAAGCUGUGGCUGCCCCAUCCCUGGAAGUGUUCCAGGCCAUGUUGGACGGGGCUUGGAGCAACCUGGGCUAGUGGGAGGUGUCCCUGCCCACAACAGGGGGUUGGAAUGAGAUGAGCCUUAAGAUUCCUUCCAACCCAUCCCAUUCUGUGAUUCUGUGACACACAGACUCACUGUGGUAAGAUGUGUGUUACACCAGUCUUAAAAACACUGAUUUAGUUACUUAAUUCAGGUUUGUUACAGCUUGUGGAGUUUCCAGCACUGCACAUCCCAAAUUGGUGCUGGCACCAUCCAGGAUGGUCUCUCUCUUGACAUGAAAAACACUUGUGAUGCCCCAGCAAGGAACCAGACUGGGGUUUGGGAGACCGAAGUCCUGGCCCUACCACUGCCACAGGUUUGCUGGUGUCAUCUCAAACCCUGAUUUAUGACACAUCCUGUCAGGCUGUAACUGCCCUCAGCCAACUCUACCUGAGGCUUCCUCUUGGCCAGCUGUGAUGGUGGGAGCAGAAGAGCAGGAAACACCGAUGUGGGACUGGUGAACACCUGAACAUUCCCCACUGAACUGUUUUGUGUCCCAGGGCUGCUUCCUGGUGUUCAGCAGUUUCCAUCUCUUGGGGCAGAUGGAGCAGCAACCCAGUGUGACACACGUGUGUGGGUGCAGAAGCGACACCAGUCACUCACAGAGGGAAGAUGAGACCUGGCUGUGAUCAGUGGGAGGUUCUCCUGUGCUGCCAACUCGAUGUGACACCUCCCUGUGCCCGGGCACAGCCCGUGUCACAUCUGCUGGGGAUGAUGAGCAUCAGGGUCAAACCAGUUCAGCACCACAGGGAGAAGAUGUUUCUCCUUUUCACAUCCCGUGUGGCUGAGCUGUCACAUCAAGGCCAAGUUCAGUCUCCCUCCCUGGCAACUCUUUGUGGAUGUUGUGGCACAUGUGGACACAGCAGGAGCUCGGACACUUUGCUCAUCAGGGCUGAGGGACAUAAGGCCAUACAAAAUCCAGGCAAAACUCCACUUCCUUAUUAACCUGUCUCUGGGCAGUGGCAAAAGCUUCUGGAAAAAACAGGAAUACAGCCUGGGAUACCUUUGUGGGACUCCCUUGUAGUGGGCCCACAAGGAAUCCUGAGAGGGAGCCUUCGUCAGGAACUGUGGUGAGAGGACAAGGAGUAAUGGGCUCAAAUUAAAAGAGGGGACAUUUAGGUUGGAUAUGUGGGAGAAAUUCUUCCCUGCGAGGGUGGGGAGGCCCUGGCACAGGUUGCCCAGAGAAGCUGUGGCUGCCCCAUCCCUGGGAGUGUUCAAGGCCAGGUUGGAUGGGGCUUGGAGCAACCUGGGAGAGGGAAUGUGUCACGACCUGCAGGCAGUGCUCUUCCUAAUGGUCAGGGACACUGCUGGAUCAUGGAUAGCUUGUUGUCCACCAGGACCUCCAGGUCCUUCUCCUUCCUUCUCCCCCAGUCAGAUGGAAAAUUCUUCUCCCUCCAAGGAGGAAUUCUUUAAGGGAUCCAAGAGCACAUUUCUGAGAGUUAUAAUGGCAGAAAGGUGUUUGAGUAUUCAAAAACAUUAAAUCCAGAGCUCCAUCAUGAAGAUGAUAGAAGGGGAAAGUCCCCUAAGACCACAAUCUACUGUGCUAAUUAAUGAAGGCAAGACUUCAGGAAUAAAUCAAGAAUUAGACAUUUGCUUUUCUACGUGGAGGUAGAUGAAAAAGCAGAAGCUGGAAGGUGUUUUAUCUCCUCUCUUCAACACAGUGAACAGUUUAAGACCUGUUUGCGGGCAGGAACUGAGCAAGAUGGAAAGAGUAUUAUCUGCAGAACACUGUGAAAUUCAACAGACUUCCAGAAAAGAUAGGCAAGGUUUCAAAAAAUAUGGUUAAAUGGGAACUCCAUGUCAAAGGAGGAGGUUGGUUUGCUUUCCAGGAGCACCUUCAGAUUCAAAGUGCUGCAGAGAGGGAGGGUAAACACGACUCAAGCACAAAUAAUUUUUAAAAUGGAGCCUGAUAAGCUCAGCACCACACAAAAAAGGCUCCAUUGUGUGAAUAACAAUCGAGUGGGUCCAGCAAACAGAUGUGACCCACACUUCACAAAUAUAAUUACUGCACUGGGCUUCCUUGUGCCUCAGUGUUCUGCUUAUAACAAAUGGCCUUGAAAAACAGCAUUUUUAUAGAGAGGGGUUUGUUUGCAGAGCUCUGUGAGCUCCUCCUCUGCUCCUUGCUGUGCUGGGGCGGGUUUUGCUCAUCACUCAGGGAACCCAACAAAGAGCAUAAAAGCAACCACAGCAAAUCAAGCAAAGGUUGUCCCAGUCCAGUUUCUUUGUCUCUACCAGCAGCUCUUUCCCCACAGAACUCUUGCAGACCUCUGUGAUCUCCAGCUGAAGGACUUUCUGUAUAUUCACAGUCACUCCUCAUUAAGGUUUUUCUCCUCCCCAAACUCAACCCAUGUGCUUUUGAAACUCGGGUGAGUUUGUAGCAUCCACACUGGAUAGUAUCCAUCCAUCCCAUGUAAUUUUGUGCCCUCUAAUUACAGUAGCUAAGCUGUUACAUAACCAUCCCAACAUCCCUGCCAAGGGGUGGAAUUCAUAAGCAGGAGGCAACGGGGAAAAAAAAAAGAAAGAAAGAGCUUACAAACACCUCUGUGGCAAAGCUAAUCUUAUCUCAAAGCCUUUGUUCCUAGGGGAGUUAAUGUUUGGGGUUGUGAAAGAUAGAUGUGUUUGGAAUAAGGGGAAAAAGAACAUGUAGAAACAUUGUUUGCUGGAAGUACAGCUCAGCAGAAGGAAGGAGGAGAAGGAUCUGGAAGGUCUUUCCACAAAUGCUGUUGGCAAUGAGGAUGAACUCAGGGACAGGAGGAUUUGAUCAGCUUCCAUCUGAAGACUUUCUGUGGCCCAUCAAAGCACUGAUCCAUCAAACACAGAGUUCUGUUUGCCCUCACCUUGUCCCCUUUGUCCUUUCAGAGGACAUCCUACUGAUCCCUAACUCUGGUCCCCUGAGAAUGGGAACAACACACCAGCUUCCCCUUCUGGUAGCACCUUAUGUUGUCAGAAGUCACCUUCUCCCUCAGCCAGAAACAGCAGGAGAACCUAAAUGGCCUUCAAGGUCCCUUCCAACCCAAGCCAUUCAAUGAUUCUAUGAUUCUAACCAUGAUUUAGGAGUGGGAUUCCUAGGCUGCAAAACUCUAUCACAGCAGGAGGCUGCUGGGAGAUUUAGGAAGUGUGACACGGGAUCAGAUCUAAUUCCAAAGACUUUGCACAAACUGCUCCAGGCUCUCUAAUCCCUCCUGGUCACUCGUUAAGAGCUCCCUUAAGAAAUUCCUGCUCCCUACAGCUUUGCUGGAUGUCUAAGAAGUCGGGCAGUGCCUGGAAUGCAUCGGGAUCCUUGGCCAGGACCCCACAAGAAGCGUGCAGAGUGGUCCUUGCUGCCUCCAGAAAGUGUGGGGUGGGGAGGGACCUUAAAGUUCGUCUCAUUCCAACCCCCUGCAAAGAUCAGGGACACCUUCCACCAUCCCAGGGUGCUCCAA